rnacentral:rRNA from 1 species
CACACACCGAAGCCGAGAUCCAGGCCAGGCCAAGCACGCCGCCGCCGGCAGUCGAAAAUAACACAUUCCCUAGCCACGCCGUGACAUGGCCACUCCAACGGCAGCCGCCGACACCGCCGCCGCCCCGCUGACUCCAGUUGCCCCGGAGCCCGCGGCGAAGUUCUCUCUUGCCUCUUCUGAUAUGGCUGCUCCGACCGCAGCAGCCGACACCUCCGCCCCGCCGCCGCCUGCUCCAGUCCCUCCGACCGCAGCCGCCGACACCUCCGCGCCGCCGCCGCCAGCUCCAUCCCCUCCGACCGCAGGAGCCGACACCGCCGCUCCGCCACCACCUCCUCCUCCAACAACGACGGAGCCUGCGGCCAAGGUCUCUCAUAGUCCUUACCACAUGGCCGCCCCGACGGCAACCGCCGAGACCGUCGGUCGGCCAAUUCCUCCUCCUCCAGCCCCGGAAAUCGCGGCCAAGGUCUCCCAUUUCCCCCCUCCUUUUCCUCCUCAGCCCGAUGCGCCGGCGCCCAAGAGGCGGAAGCUGGAGGAGGCGGGGUUCCACACCUCCGCCUACUACAAGAUCCGGGCCACUGUUGCCGACCUCCGCCUCCGCUUCGUCCAGGUUCACGAAGCUACUGAUUUUCGGAAGAGCGAUGCUGCUCGCGAGAUUCUGAGAGAGAUAAAGACAGUUAUGGAACUCUCCAAGAAAAUGAGGCUUGAUCUCGGCGUCUCUUCUGAACCCAUGAAACCGUCAGAGAAGCCUUUAGCUGGAGCUGUGAAGGAUGAGUCCGCAGAGCCAAUUCCUUCUGGAGAAAGAAAUCAAGUUCCUCCGACAGGUCAGCCUGCAGUUCCUCCUAAUAUUGCAAAUGAUGGUGCACCGGCCACCCAAGCCUGACAAGUGAUAACUCAGCGAGUGCAGCAGAGAAAAUAUCAGAGGGAAAGGGAACCCUAAGCAGUGAGAUGGCAAAUCACCCAAAGCACCUCGUGAAAACAGUGCAAGGGUCUUAUGUGGUUGGUGGAUCUCCUGUUGGCUGGAAUUUUCUUGUUUGGCUUGGUGGUGAAAUAAUGUAUUGUGGGGUUGCCAAAGAGGUGUUUCGGACGCGCCAAGCUGCAAAUUGAGAUGUUCCCUUCAAAUUGAAACUUUCUGAUUUGUAAUGUACUCUUUAAAUUGAUGGGGGUUAUGAUUUAGUUUUAACAUCCUUAUCCUUAAAUUCACUAAGCUCCCUAGGGCUUGGGGCGCUCUCAGUCAAUUGAGGCAUCAAUUCUGGCAUUUGAUUUUGAAUUUGACUGUGGGCCUGGAUACUCAUUGGGGUCGAUGGUUAUUCUCCCCCCUUUCGUGCCUCCCACGUGGAUUUACCCCUGUUGUUCUUGGCUGGG